UACGUAGGGUGCGAGCGUUGUCCGGAAUUAUUGGGCGUAAAGGGCUCGUAGGCGGUCAGUUACGUCGGGAGUGAAAACUCGGGGCUCAACCCCGAGCCUGCUUCCGAUACGGGCAGACUAGAGGUAUGCAGGGGAGAAUGGAAUUCCUGGUGUAGCGGUGAAAUGCGCAGAUAUCAGGAGGAACACCGGUGGCGAAGGCGGUUCUCUGGGCAUUACCUGACGCUGAGGAGCGAAAGUGUGGGGAGCGAACAGG
rnacentral:rRNA from 1 species